AGCAUAGCGAUUUGGGAUAAGUCCCUUGGAAGAGGGCAGCAUGGAGGGUGAUACUCCCGUCUCUGCUCAGGUUGUCUGUGUGUACGAUACGCUUUCUUUGAGUCGAGUUGUUUGGGAAUACAGCUCAAAGCAGGUGGUAAAUUCCAUCUAAAGCUAAAUAUUGGUGCGAGACCGAUAGCGAACAAGUACCGUGAGGGAAAGAUGAAAAGAACUUUGAAAAGAGAGUUAAAGAGUACCUGAAACUGUUGAAAGGGAACCGUAUCGUUUCUAGUGUGUAUCCUAUGCAUAUUUCAUUGGCGGUUGUAAAAUUGCUGGUGCCCUGUGUAUGGGUGUGACGUCCGAGUCGGUUUGAAUUGCGGGAGAUGGGUAGUGAGGAGGUGCGUCACUUUUUGUGAAAGUUACAGCUCGCUAUCUAGUAGCCGUGGUUAAGACUGAGGUGCC
rnacentral:rRNA from 2 species